UUCCGGUUGAUCCUGCCGGACCCUACUGCUAUCGGGGUGGGACUAAGACAUGCGAGUUGUGCGUCUCUAAGCUAUGGUAGAGACGCAGCGUACGGCUCAGUAACACGUGGCCAACCUGCCCUUAGGACGGGAACACCCCCGGGAAACUGGGGUUAAUUCCCGAUAGGUGAAGGAGUCUGGAAUGACCCUUCGCCCAAAAGACGUUUAUGUCAUGCUCAUAUUCGUCGCCCAGGGAUGGGGCCGCGACCGAUCAGGUAGUUGGUGAGGCAAUGGCUCACCAAGCCUUUUACCGGUGCGGGCCGUGAGAGCGGGAGCCCGGAGAUGGGCACUGAGACAAUGGCCCAGGCCCCACGGGGCGCAGCAGUCGCGAAAAUUUUGCAAUACACGAAAGUGUGACAGAGCUAUCCCGAGUGCCAUCCGCUGAGGAAGGCUUUUACCCAGUAUAAAUAGCUGGGAGAGUAAGGAGAGGGCAAGUCUGGUGUCAGCCGCCGCGGUAAUACCAGCUCUCCGGGUAGUGUGGACGUUUGUUGGGCCCAAAGCAUCCGUAGCUUGCUAGAUAAGUCCUCUGUUAAAUCCACCGAUUCAAUCGUUGGAUUGCGGGGGAUACUGUUUGGCUAGGGGACGGGAGAGGUCGACGGUAUUCCCGGGGUAGGGGUGAAAUCCUAUAAUCCCGGGAGGACCACCAGUGGCGAAGGCUGUCGACUAGAACGCGCGCGACGGUGAGGGAUGAAAGCUGGGGGAGCGAACCGGAUUAGAUACCCGGGUAGUCCCAGCUGUAAACGAUGCAGGCUAGGUGUUUGGGCGGCCACGAGCCGCCCUAGUGCCGCAGGGAAGCUGUUAAGCCUGCCGCCUGGGGAGUACGGCCGCAAGGCUGAAACUUAAAGGAAUUGGCGGGGG
rnacentral:rRNA from 1 species